UACGAAGGGGGCUAGCGUUGCUCGGAAUUACUGGGCGUAAAGCGCACGUAGGCGGCUCUUUAAGUCGGAGGUGAAAUCCUGGAGCUCAACUCCAGAACUGCCUUCGAUACUGAAGAGCGUCGAGUCCGGGAGAGGUGAGUGGAACUGCGAGUGUAGAGGUGAAAUUCGUAGAUAUUCGCAAGAACACCAGUGGCGAAGGCGGCUCACUGGCCCGGUACUGACGACUGAGGUGGCG
rnacentral:rRNA from 1 species